UAGGGAAUCUUCCACAAUGGGCGCAAGCCUGAUGGAGCAACGCCGCGUGUGUGAUGAAGGGUUUCGGCUCGUAAAACACUGUUAUAAGAGAAGAACGGCACUGAGAGUAACUGUUCAGUGUGUGACGGUAUCUUACCAGAAAGGAAUGGCUAAAUACGUG
rnacentral:rRNA from 1 species